rnacentral:rRNA from 1 species
UACGUAGGGUGCGAGCGUUGUCCGGAAUUAUUGGGCGUAAAGGGCUCGUAGGCGGUUUGUCGCGUCGGGAGUGAAAUCCACUGGCUUAACUGGUGGCUUGCUUUCGAUACGGGCAGACUGGAGGUAUGCAGGGGAGAACGGAAUUCCUGGUGUAGCGGUGAAAUGCGCAGAUAUCAGGAAGAACACCAAUGGCGAAAGCAGCUCUCUGGGACGGUACUGACGCUGAGACGCGAAAGCGUGGGGAGCGAACAGG